rnacentral:rRNA from 1 species
ACAUGCAGUCGACGGCAGCACGGGAGCAAUCCUGGUGGCGAGUGGCGAACGGGUGAGUAAUAUAUCGGAACGUGCCCAGUCGUGGGGGAUAACGCAGCGAAAGCUGUGCUAAUACCGCAUACGAUCUCUGGAUGAAAGCGGGGGACUCGCAAGAGCCUCGCGCGAUUGGAGCGGCCGAUAUCAGAUUAGCUAGUUGGUGGGGUAAAAGCUCACCAAGGCGACGAUCUGUAGCUGGUCUGAGAGGACGACCAGCCACACUGGAACUGAGACACGGUCCAGACUCCUACGGGAGGCAGCAGUGGGGAAUUUUGGACAAUGGGCGCAAGCCUGAUCCAGCAAUGCCGCGUGCAGGAUGAAGGCCUUCGGGUUGUAAACUGCUUUUGUACGGAACGAAACGGCUCUUUCUAAUAAAGAGAGCUAAUGACGGUACCGUAAGAAUAAGCACCGGCUAACUACGUGCCAGCAGCCGCGGUAAUACGUAGGGUGCGAGCGUUAAUCGGAAUUACUGGGCGUAAAGCGUGCGCAGGCGGUUAUAUAAGACAGAUGUGAAAUCCCCGGGCUCAACCUGGGCACUGCAUUUGUGACUGUAUAGCUAGAGUACGGCAGAGGGGGAUGGAAUUCCGCGUGUAGCAGUGAAAUGCGUAGAUAUGCGGAGGAACACCGAUGGCGAAAGCAAUCCCCUGGGCCUGUACUGACGCUCAUGCACGAAAGCGUGGGGAGCAAACAGGAUUAGAUACCCUGGUAGUCCACGCCCUAACGAUGUCAACUGGGUUGUUGGGUCUUAGCUGACUCAGUAACGAAGCUAACGCGUGAAGUUGACGCCUGGGGAGUACG